UUAGGUUUAUCCAACUCGUUGAAUCGUCUGAUGGCAAGUGUUUAGUAGCAUUGGCUCGGCCUUACAACAACAAACAAGUUUGACCUCAAAUCAGGUAGGAUUACCCGCUGAACUUAAGCAUAUCAAUAAGCGGAGGAAAAGAAACCAACAGGGAUUGCCUUAGUAACGGCGAGUGAAGCGGCAAAAGCUCAAAUUUGAAAUCUGGCACCUUCGGUGUCCGAGUUGUAAUUUGAAGAAGGAAGAUUUAUGGGUCUUGUCUAAGUUCCUUGGAAAAGGACAUCACAGAGGGUGAGAAUCCCGUGCGAUGAGAUUCCGUAUUGUAAUCUUCCUUCGAAGAGUCGAGUUGUUUGGGAAUGCAGCUCUAAGUGGGUGGUAAAUUCCAUCUAAAGCUAAAUAUUGGCGAGAGACCGAUAGCGAACAAGUACUGUGAAGGAAAGAUGAAAAGAACUUUGAAAAGAGAGUGAAAAAGUACGUGAAAUUGUUGAAAGGGAAGGAUUUGAGAUCAGACUUGGUAUUUUGCAACCUUACUCUCGUGGUGGGGCCCCUGCAGUUUAUCGGGCCAGCAUCAGUUUGGACGAUGGGAUAAUGACUCAGGAAUGUGAUUCUACUUCGGUGGAAAGUUAUAGCCUUUGUUGAUACCGUCUGUCUAGACUGAGGACUGCGUCUUUUGACAAGGAUGUUGGCAUAAUGAUCUUAAAUCACCCGUCUUGAAACACGGACCAAGGAGUCUAACGUCUAUGCAAGUGUUUGGGUGUUAAACCCGUACGCGUAAUGAAAGUGAACGUAGGUGAGAACUCUUUUGAGUGCAUCAUCGACCGAUCCUGAUGUCUUCGGAUG
rnacentral:rRNA from 1 species